GGGAUUUGAUGCAGAUGAUCAUCAUGGCUUGGAGAAACAAUGAAGGAAGCAAAGUAUGCCAUCUAUGCUGCAGGAGGUGAAUAGGGAGGGAAGGUUUGAAAGAAUCUACUCAGAACUGAAGGAGCCAAGACUCUGUGGGUGCAUUUGAAACAACCUGGCAUUUUUGGGAAACUGCCAGGAGUUCCACAAGGCUGAAGAGCAGCCUGAGAAGGGAGAAGGAACGAGUUUGGGCUUUUAACUGAGGGCCAUGGGAAACUACUGAAGAGUUUUAGGCAGCAUAAGAACUACUAGAUUUUCAUUGUGGGAGGAUCCUCAGCAGCAGCCUCAGAAAGGAGAUUGGGGAAGGAGAUCCCUAGUCAAGGAGACCAAGAAGACUACUGGAAAAAAACAGGGGGAUCCUCAAGGACCUGCAAACAAGAAACCAAAUCCCCCCACUCCCCCCAGCCAAAAUGUGUUCAUUUUGACCAGCUGUGUGUGUGUUUUAAAUUAAAAGUUUGAAUUAGAAAGCAAGUAGGAUAAAUUUAUACACUUAGAUGUAUAAAUUUAAAUACCUGGCCCCUGAAGCACUUCUGAUAGGUCUCAGCUACCCAAACAAGAAGAAGGGAAUCUUUGAAUCCCCAGGACUCAACGCAGUACUGGACACAAAAUGGGAGCUGAAAAAGUGUGUGUGGAGUCAAUGAAGGAUGCAAUUUCCCCCCAUUGUAGAGAUGAAGAAGCUGAGGCUGCAGAGUAGCACAGGAGCAGACAGUGGGGACUGUCUUCAAAGUAGGUUCCUAGUUCCUGGCUCAGAGGUCCCAGUUUUUGUUGACCAUGGACAGUAAAACUCCCUGCGGAAGUGGGUCCAGUCUCAGGAGAGCAGUUUUGAUUGGUCUAAGUUUGUGAUUGACUUAGGAACUGUCUGGUCAAUGAAAUAUGAGGGAAAGCCUGGGGGAUUCUGGGAAAGGUUUUGUAAACCAAAAGUAUUUGAGACAUGUCUCAAUUUUAGAGGAUUAUUUUGCCAAGGUUAAGGACCAUUGCCCAUGGUACAGCCUCAGGAGGCCCUGAGAACAUAUACCCAAGGUGGUUGGGGUUCAGCUUCAUUUUAUACAUUUUAGGGAGUCAGAAGUUACAGGCAAAGACAUAAAUCAAUACAUGCAAGGUAUACAUUGGUUUGGCCCAGAGAAGUGGAACAUCUAGAAGCAGGAGCUUCCAGGUCAUAAGUGGAUUCAAAUAUUUCCUGAUUGGCAGUUUGUUGACAGAGUUAAGCUCUGCCCCAAGAGUUGAUGUCAGCUUAAAUUAAGGUAAGGGGGUGCUUUGUGGAAACCAACGUUCUUAUCAUGUAUAUGAAGCCUCCAGGCUUCAGCGAGAAUAGGUGUGAAUGUCUUUUAUUGGACCUUAAAAAUUGUCAGACUUUCUGGAAAAGACCUAAUAAGGGAAUCUUUACAGAACAUAAUUUUUUCACCCACAAGUGACAGCUUGGCAGGGCCAUUUCAAAAUAUGUAAAGAAAUAUAAUUUGAGGUAAAAUAAUUUGAUUUCCUUCAGGGCCCACUGGCUGUCACGUGAUGUUAUACCAGAGUCAGAUUGGAAUCUGUUGUCUUACUGCUACAAAGAUUUUGUCUUGACAGUCUUAAGAUUCCUGUUUUAAUGUCAGUGCUGGUCAGUUGUGUCUAAACUCAAAAGGAAGGAGGGUAUAAUGAGGCAUGUUUCACCCCCUCUUUCCCAUCAUGGCCUGAACUAGUUUUUCAGGUGUUUUUUUGAAUCCCUUUGGCCAAGGGGGAUCCAUUCAGUCAGCUGAGGGGCUUAGAAUUUUAUUUUUGGUUUAUAGUUUCCUCUUGAUUAAAGAAGGAAGUCUGCAAUGUGGGUUUGUAACCUAGUUUUUAAUAACUUUACAUCAGACUUGUAAUUUAUUGUUACUUUCUGAAGACACACUGAUAAAACCUCUCUACCAUGACAUCAUUGCAUGUUUUCACGGUAGAAAUUCUAAUUAUUUGCUAAAGUGAAAAUAAAGUCAAACAUGCCUAA